rnacentral:tRNA from 1 species
AUGUGGUGCAAUGGUGGCUAUGCGUUUAAUUAAAAAGCUGACGAGAAAAGGUUCGAAUC